rnacentral:rRNA from 1 species
UACGGAGGGUGCGAGCGUUGUUCGGAAUCAUUGGGCGUAAAGCGCGCGCAGGCGGCUCUUUAAGUCUACGGGUGAAAUGCCGGGGCUCAACCCCGUGCAUGCCCGAGAUACUGGAGGGCUGGAGACACGUAGAGGCAAGCGGAAUUCCGGGUGUAGCGGUGGAAUGCGUAGAGAUCCGGAAGAACACCGGAGGCGAAGGCGGCUUGCUGGGCGUGAUCUGACGCUGAGGCGCGAAAGCGUGGGGAGCGAACAGGAUUAGAAACCCCCGUAGUCC